CGGAACGGGUGAGUAAUACAUCGGAACGUGCCCGAUCGUGGGGGAUAACGAAGCGAAAGCUUUGCUAAUACCGCAUAAGAUCUACGGAUGAAAGCAGGGGACCGCAAGGCCUUGCGCGAACGGAGCGGCCGAUGGCAGAUUAGGUAGUCGGUGGGAUAAAAGCUUACCAAGCCGACGAUCUGUAGCUGGUCUGAGAGGACGACCAGCCACACUGGGACUGAGACACGGCCCAG
rnacentral:rRNA from 1 species